UACGGGGGGGAGCAAGCGUUGUUCGGAUUUACUGGGCGUAAAGGGCGCGUAGGCGGCGUGACAAGUCACUUGUGAAAUCUCCGGGCUUAACUCGGAACGGUCAAGUGAUACUGUCGGACUAGAGUACAGAAGGGGCAACUGGAAUUCUCGGUGUAGCGGUGAAAUGCGUAGAUAUCGAGAGGAACACCUGCGGCGAAGGUGGGUUGCUGGGCUGAUACUGACGCUGAGGCGCGAAAGCCAGGGGAGCGAACGGGG
rnacentral:rRNA from 1 species